rnacentral:rRNA from 1 species
UACGUAGGGGGCGAGCGUUGUCCGGAUUUAUUGGGCGUAAAGAGCGUGUAGGCGGCCAGGUAAGUCUGCUGUGAAAACUCGAGGCUCAACCUCGAGACGUCGGCGGAAACCAUCUGGCUAGAGUCCGGAAGAGGAGAGUGGAAUUCCUGGUGUAGCGGUGAAAUGCGCAGAUAUCAGGAAGAACACCCGUGGCGAAGGCGGUUCUCUGGGACGGUACUGACGCUGAGACGCGAAAGCGUGGGGAGCGAACAGG